rnacentral:tRNA from 1 species
GCAGUGGUGGUUCAGUGGUAGAAUUCUCUCCUCUGAUGUGGGAGACCUGGGUUCAAUUCCCAGCCAAUGCA